rnacentral:rRNA from 1 species
UUAAGUUAUUAAGGGCGCACGGUGGAUGCCUUGGCACUAGAAGCCGAUGAAGGACGUUACUAACGACGAUAUGCUUUGGGUAGCUGUAAGUAAGCGUUGAUCCAGAGAUUUCCGAAUGGGGGAACCCAGCACAAGUUAUGUUGUGUUAUCGACAAGUGAAUUCAUAGCUUGUCAGAAGGCAGACCCGGAGAACUGAAACAUCUUAGUACCCGGAGGAAGAGAAAGAAAAUUCGAUUCCCUGAGUAGCGGCGAGCGAAACGGGAAGAGCCCAAACCAAUAAGCUUGCUUAUUGGGGUUGUAGGACACUCUAUACGGAGUUACAAAGGAAUAUAUUAAACGAAUCAUCUGGAAAGUUGAAUCAAAGAAGGUAAUAAUCCUGUAGUUGAAAAUAUAUUCUCUCUUGAGUGGAUCCUGAGUACGACGGAGCACGUGAAAUUCCGUCGGAAUCUGGGAGGACCAUCUCCUAAGGCUAAAUACUCUCUAGUGACCGAUAGUGAACCAGUACCGUGAGGGAAAGGUGAAAAGUACCCCGGAAGGGGAGUGAAAGAGAACUUGAAACCGUGUGCUUACAAGUAGUCAGAGCCCGUUAAUGGGUGAUGGCGUGCCUUUUGUAGAAUGAACCGGCGAGUUACGAUCUGAUGCAAGGUUAAGCAGAAAAUGUGGAGCCGUAGCGAAAGCGAGUCUGAAUAGGGCGUAUAGUAUUUGGUCGUAGACCCGAAACCAGGUGAUCUACCCAUGGUCAGGUUGAAGUUCAGGUAACACUGAAUGGAGGACCGAACCGACUUACGUUGAAAAGUGAGCGGAUGAACUGUGGGUAGCGGAGAAAUUCCAAUCGAACUUGGAGAUAGCUGGUUCUCUCCGAAAUAGCUUUAGGGCUAGCCUCAAGUGAUGAUUAUUGGAGGUAGAGCACUGUUUGGACGAGGGGCCCCUCUCGGGUUACCGAAUUCAGACAAACUCCGAAUGCCAAUUAAUUUAACUUGGGAGUCAGAACAUGGGUGAUAAGGUCCGUGUUCGAAAGGGAAACAGCCCAGACCACCAGCUAAGGUCCCAAAAUAUAUGUUAAGUGGAAAAGGAUGUGGCGUUGCCCAGACAACUAGGAUGUUGGCUUAGAAGCAGCCAUCAUUUAAAGAGUGCGUAAUAGCUCACUAGUCGAGUGACACUGCGCCGAAAAUGUACCGGGGCUAAACAUAUUACCGAAGCUGUGGAUUGUCCUUUGGACAAUGGUAGGAGAGCGUUCUAAGGGCGUUGAAGCAUGAUCGCAAGGACAUGUGGAGCGCUUAGAAGUGAGAAUGCCGGUGUGAGUAGCGAAAGACGGGUGAGAAUCCCGUCCACCGAUUGACUAAGGUUUCCAGAGGAAGGCUCGUCCGCUCUGGGUUAGUCGGGUCCUAAGCUGAGGCCGACAGGCGUAGGCGAUGGAUAACAGGUUGAUAUUCCUGUACCACCUAUAAUCGUUUUAAUCGAUGGGGGGACGCAGUAGGAUAGGCGAAGCGUACGAUUGGAUUGUACGUCUAAGCAGUGAGAUUGAGUGUUAGGCAAAUCCGGCACUCUUAAGAUUGAGCUGUGAUGGGGAGAGGAAAUUGUUUCCUCGAGUCGUUGAUUUCACACUGCCGAGAAAAGCCUCUAGAUAGAGAUUAGGUGCCCGUACCGCAAACCGACACAGGUAGUCAAGAUGAGAAUUCUAAGGUGAGCGAGCGAACUCUCGUUAAGGAACUCGGCAAAAUGACCCCGUAACUUCGGGAGAAGGGGUGCUCUUUAGGGUGCAAGCCCAGAAGAGCCGCAGUGAAUAGGCCCAAGCGACUGUUUAUCAAAAACACAGGUCUCUGCUAAACCGUAAGGUGAUGUAUAGGGGCUGACGCCUGCCCGGUGCUGGAAGGUUAAGAGGAGUGGUUAGCUUCUGCGAAGCUACGAAUCGAAGCCCCAGUAAACGGCGGCCGUAACUAUAACGGUCCUAAGGUAGCGAAAUUCCUUGUCGGGUAAGUUCCG